rnacentral:tRNA from 1 species
GCCGAAGUGGUGGAACAUGGUAGACACACCAUCUUGAGGGGGUGGCGGGGCGACCCAUGGGGGUUCGAGUCCCCCCUUCGGCACCA